rnacentral:ncRNA from 1 species
GUCCCCUUCCAAAAGGGGAAACGGGGCCGGGGGAUGGGUGGGUUCAGACCGGGUCCGGAAAUCCCUGGACGAGUGCAAUGGGCAUAAGCCCCCCGGACUGCAAGACAGACAAGUCGAGCAGAGACGAAAGUCGGCCAUAGUGAUUCCGUGGUUCCAUGUGACGGGCCAUCGCUCACC